rnacentral:rRNA from 1 species
UGGGGAAUAUUGGACAAUGGGCGAAAGCCUGAUCCAGCCAUGCCGCGUGUGUGAAGAAGGUCUUCGGAUUGUAAAGCACUUUAAGUUGGGAGGAAGGGCAGUAAGCGAAUACCUUGCUGUUUUGACGUUACCGACAGAAUAAGCACCGGCUAACUCUGUGCCAGCAGCCGCGGUAAUACAGAGGGUGCAAGCGUUAAUCGGAAUUACUGGGCGUAAAGCGCGCGUAGGUGGUUCGUUAAGUUGAAUGUGAAAGCCCCGGGCUCAACCUGGGAACUGCAUCCAAAACUGGCGAGCUAGAGUAGGGCAGAGGGUGGUGGAAUUUCAUGUGUAGCGGUGAAAUGAGUAGAUAUAGGAAGGAACACCAGUGGCGAAGGCGACCACCUGGGCUCAUACUGACACUGAGGUGCGAAAGCGUGGGGAGCAAACAGG